CACAAUAGAGCCUGAAACAAACACACAACAGAGGCUGAAACAAAAACACAACAAAGCCCGAAACAAAACAAAUCCAACAUGGAGGAGGGGUAGCAAGUCAGCGGAGAUCAAGAACAGGGACAGUGCAACCAAACAAUGAACAAAACAAUGAAAACAGAAUUUUUUUUUAUAUAACUGAACAAUCAAAACAUGAAUCAUACAAUCACUAAUUGCAAAUUUUUUCUUCAUAAGAACAAAACAAUGAAAACAUGAAGCAUAUAAUAAAUCAAAAGAGCGCCAAUUGCAAAUUUUUUAAUAAGAACAGAAGUUAGAACAGUGAAAAAUGAAGAAAGAUUAACAGUUUUCAACCCAAUUUUAACAAAGCUCAUCACAAUGAUUAACAACAAAAAAAAAGCAAUGAAGGAACAGUGAAUCAUAAUAGAGUUAUCAAUUUAAAAUUUAUCAUCAAAUACAAUCAGUGAGCAAAACCAGUCAACCAAGUACUGACUGGGCAUUCGGAAAA